CCUACGGGGGGCAGCAGUGGGGAAUAUUGGACAAUGGGGGCAACCCUGAUCCAGCCAUGCCGCGUGUGUGAAGAAGGCCCUCGGGUUGUAAAGCACUUUCAGUGAGGAAGAACGCCUGGUGGUUAAUACCCAUCAGGAAAGACAUCACUCACAGAAGAAGCACCGGCUAACUCCGUGCCAGCAGCCGCGGUAAUACGGAGGGUGCGAGCGUUAAUCGGAAUUACUGGGCGUAAAGCGCGCGUAGGUGGCUUGAUAAGCCGGUUGUGAAAGCCCCGGGCUCAACCUGGGAACGACAUCCGGAACUGGCAAGCUAGAGUGCAGGAGAGGAAGGUAGAAUUCCCGGUGUAGCGGUGAAAUGCGUAGAGAUCGGGAGGAAUACCAGUGGCGAAGGCGGCCUUCUGGACUGACACUGACGCUGAGGUGCGAAAGCGUGGGUAGCAAACAGGAUUAGAUACCCUUGUAGUC
rnacentral:rRNA from 1 species